AUUAUUCUCCUACAACAUAAUUGUCAAAAGCUGACAUCAAACUGAAGGCAACACUUGGGCCCUAUUGGGACCCACCUACUGAUCAAUCUAAUUGCUCAUCUUUGCUUAGAAUUUCAUCUGAGUUCCAAAGAUUGUUUUCUAAGUGGAAUAUUACCUGUUGAUAUUUAUGAUCAGGUAGCUAUCUUUCUUGGGAAGGAAAGUAGUAGGAUUCAAAUGAAACUUACAAUGCACUCACAUCUUUUAUUCUCUUUAUUUGAGCUUAGAUGCUGAGAUCUGUAAAGGAUACAGAGAUGGAAGAAGCAGCAACACACGAGAGCUCUGGAAAAUGGAAUGGGGAGUGCAUCACCCCACGGAAUCUCUAGAGAAAUUUGACUUCAAGAAAGGAAAUAGCCUCCAAGGAAGAACAAAAAGAAACCAGUGCCUCUCCAAAGGCUGUCAGAGGCUAGAUUGCUAACCCUCAUUAGCAAGCAAGAGACCAGGUUAGUUUGAGAUAUUGUGGCUCUUAACGUAAUAAAUACUAAAAUUAUGUAAUAUUAUUAUUGAGACAUC
rnacentral:lncRNA from 1 species